rnacentral:rRNA from 1 species
UACAGAGGUCUCAAGCGUUGUUCGGAUUCAUUGGGCGUAAAGGGUGCGUAGGCGGCGCGGUAAGUCGGGUGUGAAAUCUCGGAGCUUAACUCCGAAACUGCAUUCGAUACUGCCGUGCUUGAGGACUGGAGAGGAGACUGGAAUUUACGGUGUAGCGGUGAAAUGCGCAGAUAUCAGGAGGAACACCGAUGGCGAAGGCAGCUCGCUGGGACGUGACUGACGCUGAGACGCGAAAGCGUGGGGAGCAAACAGG